rnacentral:rRNA from 1 species
GAAAGACCCCGUGCACCUUUACUACAGCUUCGCACUGGCAUCAGGAUUGUGAUGUGCAGAAUAGGUGGUAGGCUUUGAAGCAAAGACGCAAGUCUUCGUGGAGCCUCCUUUGAGAUACCACCCUUCGCACUCUUGAUGUCUAACCGCGGUCCGUUAUCCGGAUCCGGGACCCUGCGUGGCGGGUAGUUUGACUGGGGCGGUCGCCUCCUAAAGCGUAACGGAGGCGCGCGAAGGUUGGCUCAGAGCGGUCGGAAAUCGCUCGUUGAGUGCAAUGGCAGAAGCCAGCCUGACUGCGAGACUGACAAGUCGAGCAGAGUCGAAAGACGGCCAUAGUGAUCCGGUGGUCCCGAGUGGAAGGGCCAUCGCUCAACGGA